AACGAACGCUGGCGGCGCGUCUUAACCAUGCAAGUCGAGCGGCAGCCCGCAAUGCCGUGGCCGGCGGACUGGGGAGUAACCGGUGGAUAACGUACCCCGUUGUCCGGGACAGCUUGUGGAAAUAGAGGGUAAUACCGGUUAGAUCACUGUUUCCUUCGGGUAACCGGCGGGAACAGGGCUUCUGCUCCGCGAGGGCAUCGGUCUGCGUCCCAUCAGCUGGACGGCGGGGUAAAGGCCCGCCGUGGCGAGGACGGGUAUCCGGCCUGAGAGGGCGGACGGACACAUUGGAACUGAGACACGGCCCAGACUCCUACGGGAGGCAGCAGGUAAGAAUAUUCCGCAAUGGGGGGAAGCCUGACGGAGCGACGCCGCGUGAACGAAGAAGGCCGGAAGGUUGUAAAGUUCUUUUCUGGCCGAGGAAUAAGUUUCGGAGGAAAUGCCGGGACGGUGGCGGUAGGGCAGGAAUAAGCACCGGCUAAUUACGUG
rnacentral:rRNA from 1 species